rnacentral:lncRNA from 1 species
UAUGUCCAGGCAAUGUUUCCAUAAAACAUUCCCUUAACUACUGCACAUAAUACCUUAAAAAUGUAAAUGUCCUCCUUAAAAUUAGACGUGCUACUUUCAUCUUGGCACCAAAGCCUGAAAUUCAAGUAGCAACCAUAUGAUAAGGUACAUAUUUUUCCAUAUAUUUAAACAUAUGUUAGAUCUACAUGAAUUUCAUAGGGAAAAAAAAAAAGCUAAUUAUUUUAAAAAAAAUCCAUGAAGUCUCUAGGAUAGUUUUAUAAUAGUUGUUGGAGCAAAGUACAAAGAAAUGGAAAUAGUCCUAGGCACAAUCUGCCAAAUCUAUUUAAAUUCCUUUUUUAUCACUAAAUUAAGCAAUAGGCUCUUGAGUCAGAAAAAGUGAAUUAGAAUACUUCAAGUUGGUGAUGCUAUUGGUUCUUGGAAAUAAAUUUCGGAGUAGUAUAUUCUUACAAAAACAACUCAGAUUUUGCAUACUCCCAGCAUCCAAUAUACUCACAUAUUCAUAGGUUUUAUUUCUCUAGAUUAUGAGCCAGCAAAUUAGAGACCGCAGUUCAAAACUGGCCAUUGUCUGUUUUUGGCAUUCUGAUAACUAAGACAAGUUUUUACAUGGUUUUAAAUGAUUGAAAAAAAAUAAUAUAUUUUAUCAUAUGAAUAUUCCAAUUUUACUGUCUAUAGGCAAAGGUUGACUGGAAUGCAGCCAUGUUCAUUUGUUUAUGUAUUGUUUAUGGUUGCAUUCCCACUACAAAUUUGAUAGUUGUAACAGAAACUGAAUGGACUGCAAAGCCUGAAAUAUUUAUUAUCUGAAACUAUAGAAAACAUCUACUGACCCCUGCUUUAGAUACUGAAAUUUUUUCCGUAGCUUAGAAUCUGUUACCUGGUUUGCUUGAUUAUUCAGAGAAAUGGAAAGUAUGAAUUGAAGUUAUCUGUAGGGUUUUUCAAGGCAGGUCUUUGUAUUCUGACCAUUUGUCUUACGGGUCCAAAAUCGAAGCCCUGAGGUUUGCGUAGUGGCCUGGGUUUCCCCCUCGCUGCUGGGUUGAUUCUGCGCCUCGAGCGGCUCUUCCGCGGGGCAGAAGGGCUCCAUUUCCCCUUCUGCCGUCACAAGCCCUUCCUGUGACCUCAUCGUGCUCUUCGCUCUUAAGCCUAAUUUGCUUUUGCGUCAUAUACUCCUUCCCCUCUUACGAUUUCACUUUAUAUUUUACAAAAAAUAAUUCUCUCCACUGUAUGCAUUUUAUAAACCAUAGUUAAAUGGCUCGAUCUCUUUUGUGUUAAGGAUGUUUAAUAAAAGAAGCGGACAUCAAGCAGUGGUGUACAUCAGUUUCCACACGUUUCAUGAUUAAAAUGUUUCCCAAGUGCAUAUAGUGCAUAUCCCUUUACCACUUGGUAACCCAUCAUUCUGUAAAAGCUACCGUUGAUUCUGUUGACAGCUGCGUCUGGGAGGAGAAAUGUUGGACUUCAGCUCUGAAAAAGUGAAUUUGAAGGGUGAUGAUGUAUUUUUAAGAUCUGGGAUUUCUUAUUAACUCAUGUGAUCUGGUUCAUGUUUAUUAGAUUGAUAAAUGUCUACCAAUCGGGUUCAUGUUUAUUAGAUUGAUAAAUGUCUACCAAGUGUCAUUUGGCCGGGUGGGGGACACCGGGUGGGGGGAGACUGCCAUUCCGCUGCUUAGGGAUAUCAAAGUGUGUCGGGAAGAUGGGUCUGUGUGCUCAAGUUAUGACAGCGCCGAGAAAAUACUUGAAACCUUUUCCUCAGAGGUAUUCUCAGAGAACAAAUCUGUCUUCAUGUUUCUAAUUACCAAGACACUUGUGGAGAAACAAAGGUGUUCCUUGUUAUGAUUCUUGUUGCUUUUCAUAAAAUAACAGUUUUGUUGGAGAAUCAUGUCAGAAGAAGUGAGAGCCUCUGUGGAAAAUGAAGAUUAAUAAAGUAAUAAUUCUCAGUAAACUUAUAUGUGUCUUUUCUUUAGUCUUUCUUUUGAAAACGUGCAAGGAGGGAAAUGCCGAAGAACUAAGGAAAAAGUGUUGUGGAAAAAUCGAAGGCUUUAUAAAUGUGGCAUGACUCAUCAGUAAUGGUUUAAGGCUGAGUGGCCUGUGGCUUGCUUUAGAAGAGGAUUUAUGUGGUUGAUGAUCUGAGGAUUUAGCAAAGGUCCAUUCUUAGUUAUGAAGCUUUUUGAAGACAAAUACUAUUAUGUCAUAUUUAAGUGUGUUAUUUUAGUUUAAAUGACACUGCUAAUCUUAGAGCUGUAAAAGGAAAUUAGACUGAUGGUGACAGAAUGCAGGUCUUCAGGAGAAUAGCUAAAAAUUGGAGGUUUGUAACUGGCUGUGAUCGAGUGGUCUGCCUUAGAGGCCUUCUUUGAUGUGCAGUGCCGCUGUGACAUUGUCAGCAAAAACAGAAGCACAAUGUGAGGAAGAAAGUCUGAUUUUUUUUCCCAAUGCUUGAAUCCACGAUUGCCUCAAGCUUGUCUGAAGAGCCACCGUUUUGGUUGUCAAUUUUCCAGUUGCAUUGGUCACGUGAAAAAAAAAAUAAAAGGGGGAACUUUGCAUAGUAAGCCUUUAUAAAUACAUUUGUUUCUUUGAACGAGAAGACUUGCAGAAGACUCAAGAAAAUAACCAGAGACAUAAAGAAGUAUAAUUCUUUUUGAACGACAUCCUUCUGGAACUACUCUAAUUGUUUUUGAAUAAAGAUGCAAACGCAAGUGAAUUCAACCUCAGGCAAUGUAAUUAAUAAUCUUCAGUUUUGCCGGCAGAAAAAACAUUUCCUUGAACAUCAGUCUUUUUGACACUCUCUCCUACUCCCCCCCCCACUGUGAUUCCAAACAAAAAAACAAGCAUGUAUAAAAUUUAUAAUCACUUCUCUAUAAUAGGUUUCAAGUUUUCUUGCCUUUUUGCCAGAGUUAAGAGGAAGGAAAUUAUAGGGGAGUAGAGAACUGCUUCUCAAAUCCAUUAAAAUUUUGUCAUUUCGUCUGAGGCUGGCCUCCUACUGACCACUGCAUCCAUGACUUUGCUAUUUGACUCUUAAUUAAAAGAAACCGAUUCUGCAUGCCGUCUUCUUGAAGAUAGUAUGUCUAAUUAAAAAAAAUUAAGGAUACCACAAACUGAUAGUAGAACAGGGCUCGAUUAUGCCUCUUUUUGGCCACAGGCAGUUGGCAUUGCCUCGGUGAUCAUCAAAUGUAAAGUGAGGGAGAAUACACAACUACCUCAACGACCAGCACUGCUUAAAUAAUAGGGGUCUGAUUUUAUCCAAAACGUCAGUUUGUAUAAACAGUACCAUUUUUAACUAAAAUGUUAAUGCAGACACUUGGGAUUUUUUUCUAUAGGAAUACAUUUUAUGGGAUUCCUUAAACCUUAUAGUUAAAGAUUUUUGGUAUUGUGAGUGAUAAUACAUUUGAUGUUCUAUAGGUUAAUAACUUGUCCAAUUAUUAGGUACUUUUUUGUUUUUUUAACCUUUUCCUCUUUUAGGCAGUAAUUAAUGUCUGGGGAAAAAAAAAAACCACCAAUGUAGCACUCUUAAUUAAAAGAUUCUAAAUGAAUCUGAAAUUUCCCGGAGCACUCAAGUGGAUUUGUUUAAGAAGUGAUUGUUUCAUGGCACAUAAACUAAAAUCAUAAACUGUUGAGAUAAAGGUAGUAUCCAUCUUUGUUUAACAGAAUUGUCUUCUUAGCAGUUUCUUUCCAUUCUACUCAAAAUCUGGUACAAAUAAAAUAAUAAACUUUGUUUCCUGAAAAAAAAAAACCCUUUUUCACAAAUGUUGGACUUUAAAGUAUUUCUUUGGGCUUUCAGAUUUGAAUGAAAAAAAAAAAAGGCAGAAGAAACUCACAAAAGAGGAAGGAAGUCAGAAAAGAAAGAAAGAGCAAGGGAGAAGGAAGAAAAGAAAAGAGGAGAGACAGAGAGGGAUAAGAGAAAAGUCGGAAAGAUGCAUGGAGGCAGGACAUAAAAAGUCAAAUAAGAUGUUGUUUGCAGAGGAUACUCCUGGGUAGCUGUGUAGAAAUAGGUUCUUUGAAGCACAAAAAAUAUUGACUGUGCAGUACCUGAUGACAAUCAUAGUUCUUCAGAAUUCCAGCAGUUUUGUUGUUGUUGCUGUUUCUUUCUUAUACUGACCUAAUAAAUACAUUUCCAAAUGCUUUAGUGCCAAGUCUCAAAAGGUAGUAAAAUAGAGCUGACUAAUGACAGCUAGGAGAAACAAAGCCUGACUAAAAGAAACAGAGAAAUGCAAGCAACCAACUGCUCCAAAUAACUUGAACUUUGUUUUUGGCAGAAACCCAGGAAUUCUUUGACCAAAAGCAUAGAUGCUUUGAAACAGCAAAUUCAGUUGCUUGCCUUUUAAACUUGCCACAUGGUUUCCAAAAGCUAAGAACCUUGUUUUCUACUUCAGUCGUAAGUAGUGCUUUGAAAUACAGUCACCUGGGGGAGGAGGGGUGCUUUUUUAGGUAGUAUUUCUUAAAGUCCCACUUUAGCCUUUCCCUACCUGAAUCAUCCCAUUUUUAUUCUUGAUUUUCAGUUGGUCAUCAUUAUAAGCAAGAAUGGUGUAUUAAAAGCUAUAGUUAAGAGUCUAGAUGGAAAAAUCAAUAAGACACAUUUUCCAAGCAAAAAUCAAUAAUACUUAAAACAACUUUUCUUACCUUACAGGCAAAUCCUUUUGUGCUAAAUAACUAAGUUUCAUGUUCCUGUGACCAUGUUCUGUCUGACUUACCAUGUCCCUUUAUGUUUUUAUGAAUGGUCAUCAGGCUAAUUAAUUCUGACAACACUAGCUGCUAAAAAUGUGAUAAUGUGAAAGAUUUGGAUAAAUGGCUUAGCUCAGAAACUAUUCUGAUUGCAAUGAUUAGAUAUGUAUUCCAUUAUACAAUGAGGACAACAUAAUCUGAAAGUCCCUGAAAUUUCUAAGAAUAGUAGCAGUGUUCGUCUAUGAUACCAAUUAAUGAAGUUAAUUGGCUUGCUUACGGCCUUUCAAAACCUUGUUAGUGAUCAAGUUAGUUAAUGAUUGAAGAUUAAUGCUGGUUCAGACAUUGCUUACUCAGUAGCUGUGAGUAUAACAAUAAAAUGAGAAGUACUGUUUACUCCCUGCCAUACAUAAUGCUAGCUCUUUUGUAUGCAUUAUUUUUACUUUUCAAAAUAGCCCUGCAAGAUACAGUCCACAUCCUCUCUACAUUGAAUCCUAUGGAAUCUGAUAACAUUAGAGGUAAAACACAUAAAGAGCUUAGAGCAGAAUUAAGAUUCAAACCCACAACUUUAUAAUGUCAAAACAUUUGUCUCACUCUGUAUUACAAAUACUCCUCUGAUUUAUUGGCAGAAGCAUGAGCCAAGUAUUGAAAUGGCACAUAGCUUAUUGCCUAAACUGUGCUGCUCUUAAUAUUCAUAAGGGAAUUACUCUUUAAUUCAUUCAGAGUUAAGUAUGUAAUACACACGUAGGUUAUGUCAGGACUAUUUUGCUGCAUUUUCAUUUUUUUUCAUUCUUUAUGUUUUAAUUUUUCUUUUCCAUGUAUAUAAUUCUGUGCUUAUGCUUAAUAUUCACUCAUGGUUUAUGGCAUGUAUGAGUAAUCUCUUAUUUCUCCAGUUUUCUGAGACUGGGGGGGGGCGGUUUCAGAGCCCUGAAUUCACCCAUUCUGGGUCUUAGUAGGUCAGGGGAGGGUUCUCAUGUCUCUGAUUUGAACUGAAGGCUGGAGUGAAAGUGAGACCAUAUAGCUGCAGGCCAUUUUUCAGAGUGAUGAGGCCAGAUCAGUCCAACGUAGUGACCAUACACCAGAAAAUCAGAAGACAUUAGUAAGAGUGUGUAUCCCUGCCUUAAGUAUGUUUGAUUUCAUCAUUUUUACUCUGUCAACCUCCCAUUUAAAUAUACUUAAUUAACUCACCUCGCACCUCCCUCUGUAUUGUUGGUAUUAUUUUCUCAUUUCUUCCCUCUUUUAAAAAUAACUUUUGUAUUUUGUUAACUUUGAAGACCUAUAAUUUUAUACUUUAUAGUAUUUUGGUUAUUAAUUUCGUACAUUCAUAUUAAUAUUUUAUGUAAUGCUUUUUAGAUUUUUAAUUUUUUUACACUGUAAAAUAUGAAUUGUUUUUGUUAUAAUCCUUAUUUUAAAUCUCAUUGCUUUAAUUGUUAACUUUGAUUAUAUAUUUUAUUCUCUCUUUGUGAAUACUUCUUUAAAAUUAAUAUUUGGCAUUCCCAUCAUGGUUCAGUGGUUAAUGAAUCUGACUAGUAUCCACGAGGAAAUGGGUUUGAUCCCUGGCCUCGCUCAGUGGGUUAAGGAUCCAGUAUUGUUGUGAACUGUGGUGUAGGUCACAGACAUGACCUGGAGCCCACAUUGCUGUGACUCGGAUUUGACCCCUAGCCCAGGAACCUCCAUAUGCCAUGGUGCAGC